UACGUAGGGUGCAAGCGUUGUCCGGAAUCAUUGGGCGUAAAGAGCGUGUAGGCGGCCCGAUAAGUCCGCUGUGAAAGUCGGGGGCUCAACCCUCGAAUGCCGGUGGAUACUGUCGGGCUAGAGUGCGGGAGAGGCGAGUGGAAUUCCUGGUGUAGCGGUGAAAUGCGCAGAUAUCAGGAGGAACACCAAUUGCGAAGGCAGCUCGCUGGAACGUAACUGACGCUGAGACGCGAAAGCGUGGGGAGCAAACAGG
rnacentral:rRNA from 1 species